ACACUUUUUCUGGAACUUCAGGUAGGAGUUCCUGAAGUUGACAAAGAGUUGCUAACAAUAUCCAGUUCAGUGAAGGUCCUUUAUAUAACAUGAGCUGAGCCACCAAUGGAGUAAUACUUGGAAAAUCAAAUUACAGGGAAUACUAGGAAGCAAAACAUAUCAUUCAAAAAUUGUUUACAACUUGAAGAAACAAAACCCCAGUAGAUUCUAAUCUUUGAACACUAUUUUGGACUACAAAGAAAGCUGAGCGCCGAAGAAUUGAUGCUUUUGAACUGUGAUGUUGGAGAAGACUCUUGAGAGUCCCCUGGACUGCAAGGAGAUCCAACCAGUCCAUCCUAAAGGAGAUCAGUCCUGGGUGUUCAUUGGAAGGACUGAUGUUGAAGCUGAAACUCCAGUACUUUGGCCACCUGAUGCGAAGAGCUGACUCAUUUGAAAAGACCCUGAUGCUAGGAAAGAUUGAAGGCGGGAGGAGAAGGGGACGACAGAGGAUGAGAUGGUUGGAUGGCAUCACUGACUCAAUGGACAUGAGUUUGAGUAAACUCUGGGAGUUGGUGAUGGACAGGGAGGCCUGGCGUGCUGCAGUCCAUGGGGUUGCAAAGAGUCAGACAUGACUGAGCGACUGAACUGAACUGAACUUAGAUAUAAUUUACUAAUUUAUCUAUGUAAAAUUCAGGAUGUUUCAUUUGUGAGAAUAAACAAUUUAUUUUCCAUCCUUAAA